GCCCGCGCACCUCCAACCCACCUGCCGCCGGCCAGACAGGAAUGGACUGUGUGACUGAAUGAAAUGGCGGGGCCAUAAGCCAUCCAAGGAGCCGCCUCCGUGAAGUUAUAGGCUCGCGGGGUACAAGGAGAAAAAAACAAUCCAGCUCCAACGGUACUGAUGUGACAGGAGGUUGUCACAGCAGAGCGGAAGAUCUGGCAGAAAGACGCUGGGAAAGAAGACACUAGGGGAAAACAUCAGAAAGUUCGGAUGAUGAAAACUCACCUCACGCCACAACAAUGUAGGAUAAAGCCGGCGGUCACCCCACCCCAGAGUGGGACAAAGUCGCACCACCCCUUGACAAUGGGGCAUCAAGAUCUUAUCGCCACGGGGGUUGCAUCCUGGUGGGGUCUUUUGGAGGGUUUAGCACCUUGCAUCCUAGAAUACAAAACACUUUUGCGUGUUUUUUGGUAGAAUUCUCUGAUCCCCUACCUCCAAUCUGAAUUAGGUCUUUCAUGUUUUCCUCACUUGGCUCAGUCUUCUACACCUUUACAUAGUUGUAUUUUUAUAUAUUUGUUUAAUGUCUGACUGUCAACUCCAUGAGAGUGAGAAUCAUGUCUAUUUCCUUCACUAUAAUUUAUCCUCUGCCUGGCACAUAGUGGGUGCUCAAGAAUGGCAGCUUCAUCACUAACUCCAUAAACAACACGCAAUUGUAAGUUACUGUUUCUUGCUCGAUCAAGAAAGCUCAGAUUAUUUCAGAAUUUGCUGACAAACUAAUCUCUACAACUUUAAAACGUUCCAAGAACUGUAUUAAAAGAGUUUCUAUAGUUGAGUUUGCCCUUCAAAGUAAGAGAGAUUUAGAGUGUAGGAUAAAAUAAGAGUAAGAAGAGAGUAAAUGAUUGGAGACAGGCUGGAGCCACAGUUUGGUUUUGCUGUAAUCUCAGAAUUAAAGAGCACAGGCAGAAUUGGGUGUGAAUCACACUUGCUGUGUGUGAUGCUAUUCAUGAUUCUAUUAAAUCAUUUGCAAAAGGGAGCUAGUAAUAAUGCUUCUACACAUAAAUGUUGUAAGAAUUAGAAAUAAUUCACUUUAAAAAAAGUUUUUUUAGAGACAGGAUCUCACUCUGAUGUCCAGCCCGGAGUGCAGUGGGGUGAUCACUGCAACCUCAAACUCUUGGACUCAAACUAUCCUUCCAUCUCAGCCUCCAGAAUAACUAGGACAACAGAUGCACAGCACCACACCCAGCUAAUUCUAAAUUUUUGUAGAGGGGCGGUCUCCCUAUGUUGCCCAGGCUGGCUGGAAUUAGAAGUAAUUCAAAUUGUUUGCUUAUUCAGUGUAGUAGGUACUCAAUAAGUAUCUGUUUAGGCCAGAUGCAGUGGCGCAUGCCUGUAAUCCCAAGGCUUUGGGAGGCCAAAGUGGAGGAUCCCUUGAGGCCAGGAGUUCUAGACCAGCCUGGGCAACAGAGCAGACUGGAGACCCCAUCUCUACACAAGAAAUAAAAAAUAGCAGGGAUUAGUGGCCUACACCCUGUAGUCCUAGCUACCCUGAAGGCUGAUGUAGGAGGAUUGAUUGAGCCCAGGAGUUCAAGGUUACAGUAAGCUAUGAUCAUGCCACUGCACUCUAGCCCAGGCAACAGAGCAAGACCCUCUCUAAAAAAACAAAAAAAGAAAGAAAAAGAAAUCUGUUUAUAUUGGUAAAUGGAUUUAUAUCUGUAAAUAACUAUAAAUAGAUUACUGCAAAAUAGCAUAAUCCCUACUCCACCUUGAAUCUGGUACCACAUUUACAGGCUUCCAUAACACACACUAUUUUCUUUCCUAUAAUUUAUCAGAGUUUUUUGGGAGAACGAAUAUUCCUUUAAUGCCUGUCCCCCUAACUAGACUAUGAGCUGUGGAAGGGCAGGAACCAUUUCCAUGUAAGGGCCUAUUUCUACCACCUGCCAAAAUGCCUACACAUAGAAGAUGUUCAGAAAAUAUUUGCACUUUGAAUCAAUGAAUAUGUUAUUCUGAUUUAAUCAGUUACUGUCUUUUUUUUUUUUUUUUUUUUUUUUGAGAUGCAGUCUCACUCUGUCACACCCAGGUUGGAGUGCAGUGGCACAAUCUUGGCUCACUGCAACUUCCGCCUCCUGGGUUCAAGUGAUUCUCUUGCCUCAGCCUCCCAAGUAGCUGGGUCUACAGGCGUGUAUGCCACCAUGCCCAGCUAAUUUUUGUAUUUUUAGUAGAGAUGGGGUUUUACCACAUUGACCAGGCUGGUCUCAAACUCCGGCUUCAAGUGAUCUGCCCGCUUCAGCCUCCCAAAGUGCUGGGAUUACAAGUGUGAGCCAUGGCGCCUAGCCUAUAUUUAUGUGUUUAUUUGCUUAAUGUCUGUUUCCCAAAAUAGACUAUAAGCUCCAUGUUAGGCGGGCGUGGUGGCUCACACCUGUAAUUCCAACACUUUGGGAGGCUGAGGUGGGUGGAUCACUUGAGGCCAGGAGUUCGAGACAAGCCUGGUCAACAUGGUGAAACUCCACCUCUACCAAAAAUACAAAAAUUAGCUGGGCAUGAUGGUGGGCAUCUGUAAUCCCAGCUACUCGGGAGGCUGAGGCAGGAGAAUUGCUUGAACCUAGGAGGCGGAGUUGCACUGAGCCGAGAUUAUACCACUGCCAGCCUGGGAGACAGAGUGAGACUGUGUCUCAAAAACAUAAAUAAAAAAUAAAAAAUAAGCACAUAAAUAUAUAAAUACAGAUGGUAAUAACACAGCAAAUAAGACAUUUGGGAAUAUGCAAUAUGUGGUUGUGAAUAACAAGAAUGCUAGAUUAAUUGGACCAUAAGUUUGUGGUGAGAAAUAGUGGGAAAAGACUGCAAGAGAGACAGGAGACAUUGUGAAAAGCUUUUAAAAGCAUUGUAAAAUGCUAACUUGAGGAAUCUGCAUUUUCUUAGGUUGGUGGAGGGAAGCUAAUAAAGGUAUUUUGAGCAGGACAGUUAUAUGAUAAAAGGCAGUGUUUUAGGAAUAUUAACCAGACAGAAAUAUGUAGGAUGAAUCAGGAGAAAGAUAAAGUCUGGAGGCAAAAGAUGAGUUUGGAGAUAAACCAACAGUGUGGGAAGGAGGUAAUAAAGGCUUGUAGAAGGCAUUGGACGAAAAGAUAUCUAGACAUCGGGCAAAAAGGGGCUGAAAUCUGGCCUGCACUCCAUUUGCCCAUCCCUGCACCAACCAGGUUGCAUCUGGGUGCCUCUUUCUCAUUCUCACCAAGUGACCAUAUGGGCUAGCAAUGGCUCUGGGCCUGUGUUACCUCUCUCUGUUUGAUCCCUCUUCUCUGAUGAGAGAAUUGACAUAUUUCAAGGAGACUGUGGGAGUCUAAAGAUACUUAUUUUACAGCAUUGCAAUCCCCAGGGUGAAAACACAAAUACCAAAAAUCAAUAACCAGGAAGAAUACCUCACAUCUUAAUACAACUCUUUUGAUGUCAGGAAAAUUUUGAUCCAACCUUAGAAAUAAAUCUUUAAAUUUGCAUUUGUGAAACAUCCUCAACCCCUUUGCAUGGAAUGAAAUGAUGAGAUGAAGGUGAAGGAUAGAGUGAGACUCAGAGAUGAGGAUUUAGGUAUCAUUUGACAAGCAAACUGUAUGCAACCCAGUCAUUUAUUUAAUAAAAUUUAUUUUGGCUUCUAUUUCAAAAUGUAGAAGAUAGACACCUGUGCUUCCUGAUAACACUUUGUUUGGGUAUAUCAUAAACACUGAAUGAAGUGGGAAUGAGAAAUAUUUAGGAAUUAGAAAGGAAGAUCAUGAUUUUUUUUUUCUUUUUUUUCAGACAGUGUCUGGCUCUGUUAUUCAGGCUGGAGUGCAGUGGUACAAUCUUGGCUCACUAAAACCUCUGCUUCCUAGGCUCAAGCGAUCCUACCAC
rnacentral:lncRNA from 1 species